UUCAAAAGACUACCAAGUACCCUUAGAUAAGACUUGAGUAGAAUGAUCCCAAUGUUUCUUCCAGUUAUCACACAUUCCUUUUUUAAGACAACUAUGAAUAUCUGUGAAAGGAAUUCCAACUUCAAAAUAUGGGACAGAACCCGCACUAUAAUUUGUUAUCAUGGUUGCUAAAUGGUCAGCUUUUUCAUUGCCCAAUAUGCCAAUGUGGGAUGGAACCCAAACUAGUACAAUAUUUACAUGACAAACUACAUUCAAAUAAUACAAAAGUUGUUUUAUACUAUACACUAAAUAAUUUACAUUUGUUUUAUUUACAUUAUUUUCAAGACUUUUUAAUAGGCUCAUACAAUCAGUGGCAAUAACCCACUUUGAACAAGUAUUUUUAUGCUUAUCUAUAUGUUGCAAUGCAGACAGAACUGCAACAGCUUCAGCAGAAUAUAUGCUCAAGUUGUUAUCAAGUUUAUAUCCAAGUCCAUCUUUCAGGAAACUAUCAUAAACAGCAAAAGAUGUGCAUAUAUCAUUUUUAGCCCCAUCUGUAUAAAUGAAUCUAUGAUCUCGCCAAGAAAAAAAUUUCUCAUAUACUUGUUCUUUUCUAUGUAAUUCAGAAUCUAUUACUAUAUUUAUAUCAGGGUAUUUACUUUCAAAUUCACCUUGAUAACAAGGAAAAUGGGAUUCAUUUCGCUGAAUUUCGCAUCAUGGAGAAAUUGAAGAAACCCAGAUAUAUUUUCAAGAACAAAUGGACAUUAUUUAUUGAAGAAAGUUGAAGAAGCAGAUGACAAAUAAAUAAGAUAAUGAAGUGGUGAAUAAAACACCAAGAAACUUAGCCUCUAAUGACAGAACCAAUGGUACACCUAAACCACACAGUUCUUUGAAGAGGACAUCAAUAUCAAAACUGGUAAUGCUCCAGAAAUAUCAAAAUAUACAGCAACAAGACAAUCUCUAUUUACAACACUAUUACAAAUAUCUAAAGGCAAUUGACAGAAGCUUUCAUGUGCAGAUUUACCUUUACGAAAACCAUACUGAUUGUCAGAUAUUAAAUUAUAUUUUUCAACAAAAAAUUCCAAUCUUUGUUUUAACAACUGUUCAAAAAGUUUACCCACGCAUGAAGUGAGAGUUAUUGGGCGAUAAGAAUUAGCAUUGUAUUUAGGUUUUUGAGGUUUUAAUACAGGUACUAAAAUGUCAAUUUUCCAGUCUGUUGGGAUUUCAAUAUUUAACCACAAUUCAUUCAGAAUCAACAAUAUUUUUCUCGGAAUCACUGAGGUUUUUAAACAAAAUGUAUGGAAUACCAUCAAAACCGAAUGCUGUAUUUUUACGAGAAGCGACUGCAGAUUUCAACUCUUGCAAAGUAAAAGAAUCACAUAAAAACUGUUGUUAUUAAUUGACAAAACAUUUUCAAUUUGUAGCUGAUUUUGAUAAACAGAACUGUAUUUUUCAAGAAACUCCAAAACCCAACCAUCUUGCUCUCCUUUUGAAUUAUAAAUUUUACAAAAUUUCCUCAUAUGUUUCCAGAUCAAAGUCAAUUGUGUUGAGCGAUUGAAUGAUUCACAAAGACGGACCCAACUGUUAUGUUUUUCU